rnacentral:misc_RNA from 1 species
UUAGGUGUCUCCGGACUCCAAACCCACUGUGAAUCAUACCUAUUUUAGUUGCUUCGGCGGGUGGCCCCAGGGCGGGACCGCUUCAAGCCCGCCGGAGGACGCCUAAACUCUGUUACUCUGUAUUACUCUGAGAAACAAAAAAAAAAAAACUUUUA